CAGCAGCCACGGUAAUACGGAGGAUCCGAGCGUUAUCCGGAAUUAUUGGGUUUAAAGGGUGCGUAGGCGGAUAGAUAAGUCAGUGGUGAAAGACGGUGGCUCAACCAUCGCAGUGCCGUUGAUACUGUUUAUCUUGAAUAUGGAUGAGGUAGGCGGAAUGUGGCAAGUAGCGGUGAAAUGCAUAGAUAUGCCACAGAACACCGAUUGCGAAGGCAGCUUACCAAGGCAAAAUUGACGCUGAGGCACGAAAGCGUGGGGAUCGAACAGGAUUAGAUACCCCCGUAGUCCCUGUCUCUUAUAC
rnacentral:rRNA from 1 species